GGGUCCGCAGCUCGAGCCGGGCGAGCAACUGCUUCGCACGCAGAAGGUUGGGAGUUCAAAUCUCCCCGGAUCCACCA
rnacentral:tRNA from 1 species